rnacentral:lncRNA from 1 species
AAUAAAUGUUUAUUCGUAAUUUAUUUUAACCAAUUUCAUUGGCUAAUCUUUGAUAAAUAUUUUAUUAUUACGAAACAAUUGUAUUUUAUUAUGAACCAUUAAUUUUGGACCAGAAUGUUAUGGUACUAAUCAAGUUAAUAUAUUAUUGCUCGUCGACUUAUUACUUUAUGCUGAGUAACAUUAAAUGCUGCAUAUUUUCUAUUUUACUAGAAGAUUAAGUUAUUACAGUAACCUUAAAUCCUAAAAUAUCAAUCUGAGCUGGAUGAGAAUAAAAAUUAUCGUUUAAUUUCAUGGUCAAAUUUACUGUGAACUUUUAUCAAAUAAAUACAUACGUGUAUGGGUACUAAUUCUUGUAAUUUAUGUCGCUGUUCUACUAUUAAUAUAUUUUUAAACUAUAUUGAAUUAAUCGGAUCUUUGAAUUCAUAACUUCCAGCGUUAUUUAUAACGAAACGAUACUAUAUUUUUAUUCAAGUAAUCGAUAAUGAACCUUAUGACUUGAUCAGUGAAGGUAUAUUCUUUUAACAGAAAAUUGACUGACAAACAUAUAAGUGGUCUCAAAAACAUCAAAUGUGUUUUGUACACAUUGUCUAAAUAUUAGUCAUGUAAAAACUGUAUAAUUAUUGCAAGUAGGCUAAUUUAACCAAUUAAUACUACUUAAUCUAUAUUAUGUGGUUUGUUCUACGCUUUUAUUUGUUUGUUCUAUUCUUCAUUUAUUUGUUCAAUUCUUAUGUGUUCGUGCUUCGUUUCACAGAUAAUACACAUAAAAUAGUUCUACGUUUAUCGGAGUGUUUUGUUUGUAGUUGUUUCCACUUUAAGAGGUUUUUGGCAUUGUACCAUUACCAUACGACAGGGUAGCGCGCGAAUAAUUUUGAGCAAGCAUGUAUAUUUUAUUUAUUUAUAUAUGUGGUCUUAAUCAAAACAUACCUUGGAUGGGAUUCAUUGGUAUAUUUUGAAUUAUAUCAAGAGACAACCAUACCAUUGUUUAAUUCCUCUUUUAUAUUUAAGUACUAUUCUUGUUUACAAUUUGUACAGAUUUUAUUGAUCACGAAACUGAAAUUAGGCUUAAUUUAAAAAUAAAAUAAAAAUGAUUACUAACUAUAACUACACAAUAAUGCUAAUCAUAUAAAUACUUAAUAAUGUGAAAAUCAUUAUAAAUUUAAAGAAAUUGUUCAAUAUCAUUAAAAUUUUAAAUAUCUAAUUAAGAAAGAAGAAUAAUAUGCCCAUUUUAUUAACAGUUUAUUGAGUACAAAGUAACAUUUCAACAAACAUUUUGUAUGAGAAUCCUCCGCGACAUCAGUAUACAUUUCCAAAUUCCCUAGCAACAAUCAGCUAUUGUAUAACACUAAUACAUGUCUAAACACUGAAAGCAUUCCUGUUAAUUAGCCUUGCAUUACAAUUAAUUUCCAAAUUUCAUUUAAUUUCUGGCAUAACAAGAAUUUCAACAGGCAAUAUUGUCAUCUAAGAACAGAGGCGCAUAUAAUAUAUGAUGUAUAUAAAUAUUUUAAUUAAUAUAACUACAUUCAUAACAUUAGGUUGAAAAAUUAUUGUAACUACAUUCAAUGUUGAAUGGAAAUACUGUGGACCUGUUCAUAACCUGGCUAAUGACUGACUACACGUGACGUGAUUGACAACAUUAAUAAAAACACAGGUUGUAAGGGAAAAGCUCCUUGAAACGAAGACAAGUGGUAGGUAACUUUAUAACAGAACGACGCAUCAUGUUCAGAAUGGAGAUGGAUACCCUCGGCAUGCCCACUGAGGGUACAAAACUAUUCGAGUUCCCAGAUAUUCAAAACGUACUUAACUAAUUAAAAUCACCGGUCA